rnacentral:rRNA from 1 species
UCAGGAUGAACGCUAGCGGCAGGCCUAAUACAUGCAAGUCGAACGAGAUUAUCCCAGCUUGCUGGAUUUGAAAGUGGCGCACGGGUGCGUAACGCGUAUGCAACCUACCUUUAUCAGGGGGAUAGCCCGGAGAAAUCCGGAUUAAUACCGCAUAAAAUCACAGGAUGGCAUUAUCCAAUGAUCAAACAUUUAUGGGAUAAAGAUGGGCAUGCGUGUCAUUAGCUAGUUGGCGGGGUAACGGCCCACCAAGGCGACGAUGACUAGGGGAUCUGAGAGGAUGACCCCCCACACUGGUACUGAGACACGGACCAGACUCCUACGGGAGGCAGCAGUAAGGAAUAUUGGUCAAUGGAGGCAACUCUGAACCAGCCAUGCCGCGUGCAGGAAGACUGCCCUAUGGGUUGUAAACUGCUUUUAUCCGGGAAUAAACCUCUUUACGAGUAGAGAGCUGAAUGUACCGGAAGAAUAAGGAUCGGCUAACUCCGUGC